UUAAUUUAGAAUUUUUUUUUUUAAUAAAUUAAUUAAAAUUAAUUUAUUAAAAAAAAAAUUUAAUAUUUUAAGGGAUAAUCUUUAAAUUAAAUUAUUAUAAGGUUUAUUAUAUUUUAUUUAAAAUUUUUAAAAUUUAUAUUGUUUAUAAAUUAUAUUUUUUUAUAAAAAAUUUUAUUUUUAAUAAAAUUUUUAAUAAAAUUUUUAAUUUUUUAUAAAAAAAUAAUUUUUAAUUUAAUAAAAUUAGAUAUAAUGAUAAAAUUAGUAUAAAAUUGUUUUAUUUAAUUUUAUAAAUUAUUUAUAAUUAAAAUUAAAUAUUAAUUGAUAAUUUAAUAUUUUUAAUAAUUUAUAUUUUAAUUUAUAUUUAUUUAAUUAAUGAUUGUAAUUAAAAAAAAAUAUUUAAAAUUAAAAUAUUUUAAAAGUAGAAAAAAGGAAUUCGGCAAAUAUUUAUAUUCACUUGUUUAUCAAAAACAUGUCUUUUUGAUUAUAAUUUAAAGUCGAAUCUGCCCACUGAUUUAAUUAUUAAAGGGCUGCAGUAUAUUGACUGUACAAAGGUAGCAUAAUCAUUAGUCUUUUAAUUGAAGACUUGUAUGAAAGAUUUGAUGAAAUAUAAACUGUCUCUUUUUUAUAUUUAGAAUUUAAUUUUUUAGUUAAAAAGCUAAAAUAAAUUUAAAAGACGAGAAGACCCUAUAGAGUUUUAUAUUUAAUUUAAUUAUAUUUUUAUAUUAAUUUUCAUUGAAAAUUAUUUUAAUUAUUUUAUUGGGGUGAUAAAAAAAUUAAUAAAACUUUUUUUAAAAAUAAAACAUUGAUUUAUGAGAAAAUGAUCCAUAGAUUAUGAUUAAAAGAAAAAAUUACCUUAGGGAUAACAGCGUAAUUUUUUUUUUUAGUUCAUAUAGAAAAAAGAGUUUGCGACCUCGAUGUUGGAUUAAGAUAAAAUUUAAAUGCAGAAGUUUAAAAUUUUGAUCUGUUCGAUCAUUAAAAUCUUACAUGAUCUGAGUUCAAACCGGUGUAAGCCAGGUUGGUUUCUAUCUUUAAAAAAUUAAAAUAUUUUAGUACGAAAGGAUUAAAUAUUUAAAUUAUAAUUUAUAUAGAAGAAUUUUAUUAAUUUAAUUUAUACAUUUGUAUGUUUAGUAAGUAGUUAAAA
rnacentral:rRNA from 1 species